UUACAAUUGCCGUCGCUGAGCUUCUGGCCGCCGGGAACGGUGCUGUGGCCGCUGGAACCUUGGUUUGUGUCGCUGCCAUUAGUCACUGAUAGAGGUUGAGUAUUGACGCUAGUGUUCCUGCGGGGCUGCUGAAGCUGCUGCUAGUUUUGAUUUUGUUAUCUUGGUACAAAUGGUUGUAAUUGCUUUUAAUUGCUAUCCAAUUUGAAUCUUCCAUUUUGCUGCAACCAUGGCCACUGCCGUUCUAGUUGCGUGAGAGUUGUAGCUGCUGCAGAAUAAGAUGAAAAGAGGGUUUAUCGUAUUAAAAUCGCUGCGGGUUUGGUUCUUUGAGCUUUACCUUUUCAGGAACCGGAUGA